GAUGAACGCUGGCGGCGUGCCUAAUACAUGCCGGUCGAGCGAACAGACGAGGAGCUUGCUCCUCUGACGUUAGCGGCGGACGGGUGAGUAACGCGUGGAUAACCUACCUAUAAGACUGGGAUAACUUCGGGAAACCGGAGCUAAUACCGGAUAAUAUAUUGAACCGCAUGGUUCAAUAGUGAAAGACGGUUUUGCUGUCACUUAUAGAUGGAUCCGCGCCGCAUUAGCUAGUUGGUAAGGUAACGGCUUACCAAGGCAACGAUGCGUAGCCGACCUGAGAGGGUGAUCGGCCACACUGGAACUGAGACACGGUCCAGACUCCUACGGGAGGCAGCAGUAGGGAAUCUUCCGCAAUGGGCGAAAGCCUGACGGAGCAACGCCGCGUGAGUGAUGAAGGUCUUCGGAUCGUAAAACUCUGUUAUUAGGGAAGAACAAAUGUGUAAGUAACUAUGCACGUCUUGACGGUACCUAAUCAGAAAGCCACGGCUAACUACGUG
rnacentral:rRNA from 1 species